rnacentral:piRNA from 1 species
UAAGUCUAGAAAGGCGCAUGGCUAAAGA